CGGGUUAACAUUGCCCCAGUAUUCCUCAGUCUGAGGGUGCUCCAAAGGAUCACCAUAUACCUCGGAAGUUGAGGUUAGCAAGAUCCUUGCUCCGACCCUCUUUGCAAGCCCCAGCAUGUUCAGUGUGCCAAUGACAUUUGUCUUUAUUGUCUUGACCGGAUUGUACUUAUAGAAAAUUGGCGACGCGGGGCAGGCAAGGUGAUAGAUCUGAUCG
rnacentral:misc_RNA from 1 species